rnacentral:rRNA from 1 species
GAGUUUAUCCUGGCUCAGGAUGAACGCUGGCGGUACGCUUAACACAUGCAAGUCGAACGGGACCUUUCGGGGUCUAGUGGCGGACGGGUGAGUAACGCGUGAGAACAUGCCCUUAGGUUCGGGACAACAGUUGGAAACGGCUGCUAAUACCGAAUGUGCCGAGAGGUGAAAGAUUAAUUGCCUAAGGAUUGGCUCGCGUCAGAUUAGCUAGUUGGUGGGGUAACGGUUUACCAAGGCGACGAUCUGUAUUUGGUCUGAGAGGAUGGCCAGACACACUGGGACUGAGACACGGCCCAGACUCCUACGGGAGGCAGCAGUGGGGAAUUUUCCGCAAUGGGCGAAAGCCUGACGGAGCAAUACCGCGUGAGGGAGGACGGCUUUUGGGUUGUAAACCUCUUUUAUCAGGGAAGAAACAAAUGACGGUACCUGAUGAAUCAGCAUCGGCUAACUCCGUGCCAGCAGCCGCGGUAAUACGGAGGAUGCAAGCGUUAUCCGGAAUUAUUGGGCGUAAAGCGUCCGUAGGUGGUUUUUCAAGUCUGCUGUCAAAGCGUGGAGCUUAACUCCAUAUCGGCAGUGGAAACUGGGAGACUAGAGUGCGAUAGGGGUAACGGGAAUUCCCAGUGUAGCGGUGAAAUGCGUAGAGAUUGGGAAGAACACCAGCGGCGAAAGCGCGUUACUGGGUCUGCACUGACACUGAGGGACGAAAGCUAGGGGAGCG